GUGGUGCCAAGAAAACUUAAUAAUAUGAACAAAUACAUUCUUAGAAAAUUAUCUACAGACAUUAAUUAACAAGGGCCAACAAAUUCUCAAUGUUAUUAAAAAUGGUAUAUACUGACAAGUUCUGUACCAUGCUCCAAUUUGGGAUGCCAACAACUGACAAGCAAUAACAACAAAUUUAACAAAUAAUCCAAUUCAACAAGUAAACAUCUGAAUAACAAAUAAUGCAGUUACUAUAUUCCAUGCAACAGUAG
rnacentral:lncRNA from 1 species